rnacentral:rRNA from 1 species
UACGUAGGGUGCAAGCGUUGUCCGGAAUUAUUGGGCGUAAAGAGCUCGUAGGCGGUCUGUCGCGUCUGCUGUGAAAACUCGGGGCUUAACCCCGGGCCUGCAGUGGGUACGGGCAGACUAGAGUGCGGCAGGGGAGACUGGAAUUCCUGGUGUAGCGGUGAAAUGCGCAGAUAUCAGGAGGAACACCGGUGGCGAAGGCGGGUCUCUGGGCCGUAACUGACGCUGAGGAGCGAAAGCGUGGGGAGCGAACAGG